rnacentral:rRNA from 1 species
CCUACGGGUGGCAGCAGUGAGGAAUAUUGGUCAAUGGACGAGAGUCUGAACCAGCCAAGUAGCGUGAAGGAUGACUGCCCUAUGGGUUGUAAACUUAUUUUAUAUGGGAAUAAAAUGUUCCACGUGUGGGAUUUUGUAUGUACCAUAUGAAUAAGGAUAGGCUAACUCCGUGCCAGCAGCCGCGGUAAUACGGAGGAUCCGCGCGUUAUCCGGAUUUAUUGGGUUUAAAGGGAGCGUAGGUGGAUUGUUAAGUCAGUUGUGAAAGUUUGCGGCUCAACCGUAAAAUUGCAGUUGAAACUGGCAGUCUUGAGUACAGUAGAGGUGUGCGGAAUUCGUGGUGUAGCGGUGAAAUGCUUAGAUAUCACGAAGAACUCCGAUUGCGAAGGCAGUUCACUGGACUGCAACUGACACUGAGGCUCGAAAGUGUGGGUAUCAAACAGGAUUAGAUACCCCUGUAGUC